rnacentral:rRNA from 1 species
UGAGCAAUCUGCCCUUCUCAUCGGAAUAAGCGUUGGAAACGACGUCUAAUGCCGAAUACGACCUCCUUUCGCAUGAUCGGAGGUGGAAAGCUCCGGCGGAGAAGGAUGAGCUCGCGGCCUAUCAGCUUGUUGGUGGGGUGAUGGCCUACCAAGGCGACGACGGGUAGCCGGCCUGAGAGGGUGACCGGCCACGCUGGGACUGAGACACGGCCCAGACUCCUACGGGAGCAG